UACGGAGGGUGCAAGCGUUGUCCGGAAUCACUGGGCGUAAAGCGCGCGUAGGCGGCUUGGUAUGUCAGGUGUGAAAGCCCGGGGCUCAACCGCGGGGGUGCUUGGGAAACUGGCAGGCUUGAGGCUGGGAGAGGGGAGUGGAAUUCCUGGUGUAGCGGUGAAAUGCGUAGAUAUCAGGAGGAACACCGGUAGCGAAGGCGGCUUCCUGGAACAGUACUGACGCUGAGGCGAGAAAGCGAGGGGAGCGAACAGG
rnacentral:rRNA from 1 species